UAUUCCCCAAUGCCUUCUAUUUAUUUUUUUGGGAAUUUUCUGUGAAUACUUGACCAACAUUUAUUGAGCACCUACUGUAUAGGCCCUAUCACAAGUAACAGUCACUUACACUUGCAUUAUCUCAUAUAAUGUUCACUGUCAAUGUAGAUGGGAAAUUGAUGCCCACACUGACAACGGUCCUGGAUCACAUAGCAGUAGGAAGACAGGGCCAGAAUUUGAACCUGUAUUUUCUGAAUCCUGUGAUCUUUCCACGAUGGUUGGUUGGUAUGGCUAUUUGAUACAUAUAUUGGUCAUAAAAUAUAUGUUCUUAUAUCCUUCUCAAAAGUUUAAGAUUGAUGGCUUGUGCAACCAGUCAUGUUACUACACAGUGAUACUUGAGAGUAUUGUAAAAGGCAUCAAAUAUCUAACCCUCCCAACAGAUGUCUCUCUGGCUUAUGCAGAACCUGUAUGACAAGGGACCAGAGAUAUGUGUUGGGUGAUUAUCCUCUGAACUCAGUCUCUACAAAUUUCAGUGUUUAGAAAUACAUGAGAAAUAUAUGUCUUAAGCUGGGCUAAUGGCACAUACAUGAAGUCAUAGUCUAAAUGUGACACAUAAAGUUUGCUGUGUUUUGAAAAGUAUGUUGACCGUCUUUUUGCAUACUCUCUGACACUUGGGAGUUCAACAGCACACCAACCCCUUAUAUUUUGAAGUCUCCUAUCAGAAAAAAAAGAAUUUUUAAUUGGCAUCCCAUGUUCAUAGAACAUGAGUUAACAAAGUAAGAUUUCAGAAAGAAAAGAAUAGGAGAGACUAAAUGUUAUCAUUUAGAGCAAAGAGAAAAGCUCUUUUUCUUUAGGAAUGUGUGGGUGGAGGAGAGGAUUGUUAGCUAUCUGCUCUGUGAUCCUGUGGCAAUCUGAUGAGUAAUUUAGAAGCUUCAAGUGAUUGACAAACCUUGUUGUAUUCUUAUUUUAUAUAUUUAUAUGAAUAAUGGCAUACAUGAAGAUAUUAUAUAUUAACCUUAUCUUAAAGCUUUAAUUAUUGUAAAUACAAAACACAUACAAAAAAGUAUCAAUGACACACACAAAGUUCAAUGAGUUAUUAUCAACACAUGCAUGUGUAAUCCGCACUGUGUCAAAAGUUAGAAUGCUCCCAGAAACCCUGUCUCCAGCAAAUCUGUUCCCAAUCACAGCACCAUUCCUUCUUCCAAAGAUCACUACGCUUCUGACUUUUGAGAAAAUUAUUUAUUUGCUCUCUUAAUACAUUGACCACCUACAUACGCAUCCUUAAACAUGGCAGUUGAGUCUUGCCUUCUUUUGAACUUUAUGUAAA
rnacentral:lncRNA from 1 species